AGAGUUUCGUAGUCCUGGCUCAGGACGAACGCUGGCGGCGUGCCUAACACAUGCAAGUCGAGCGAGUGGAGUUCUUCGGAACAAAAGCUAGCGGCGGACGGGUGAGUAACACGUGGGCAACCUGCCUCAUAGAGGGGAAUAGCCUUCCGAAAGGGAGAUUAAUACCGCAUAAGAUUGUAGCUUCGCAUGAAGUAGCAAUUAAAGGAGCAAUCCGCUAUGAGAUGGGCCCGCGGCGCAUUAGCUAGUUGGUGAGGUAACGGCUCACCAAGGCGACGAUGCGUAGCCGACCUGAGAGGGUGAUCGGCCACAUUGGGACUGAGACACGGCCCAGACUCCUACGGGAGGCAGCAGUGGGGAAUAUUGCACAAUGGGGGAAACCCUGAUGCAGCAACGCCGCGUGAGUGAUGACGGCCUUCGGGUUGUAAAGCUCUGUCUUCAGGGACGAUAGUGACGGUACCUGAGGAGGAAGCCACGGCUAACUACGUG
rnacentral:rRNA from 1 species